rnacentral:sRNA from 1 species
GUCGUGAGAUGUUGGGUUAAGUCCCGCAACGAGCGCAACCCCUGUCGUUAGUUGCCAACAUGAAAGAUGGGCACUCUAACGAGACUGCCGACGUUAAGUCGGAGGAAGGUGGGGAUGACGUCAAGUCCUCAUGGCCCUUAUGCCCAGGGCUACACACGUGCUACAAUGGCCGGUACAAAGGGUUGCUAACUCGCGAGAGCAUGCCAAUCUCAAAAAACCGGUCUCAGUUCGGAUAGAAGUCUGCAACUCGACUUCUUGAAGUCGGAAUCGCUAGUAAUCCCGGAUCAGCACGCCGGGGUGAAUACGUUCCCGGGCCUUGUACACACCGCCCGUCACACCAUGGGAGUCAGUUGCUCCAGAAGUGGCUUGCCCAACCGUAAGGAGGGCGGUCCCCAAGGAGUGGCUGGUAACUGGGGUGAAGUCGUAACAAGGUAGCCGUAGGGGAACCUGCGGCUGGAUCACCUCCUUUCUGGAUAUUCGAUGGCCUCGUGUCAUCGACAAUCUGGUCGAUCUCACCUUCUCUUUCUUCGCGAUUUGGUUUUGAGAGGCUGACUCUCUUUGGUUUUGGCUCUUUCCAAAUCAGCAUCCCCGCCCCGUAGUGAACAUCCAGGGGCCUGGCUCGGGGGAUUAGCUCAGCUGGGAGAGCGCGGGCUUUGCAAGCCUGAGGUCGAGGGUUCGAUCCCCUUAUCCUCCACAGACUUUUGAACGUUGACGAACUCUGAAAACUGAAUAGCAGGACGAAGCGCGAAUCAAACGUAACAAAACCGCUUGCGUGCCCUCAAGUCACGCAGGCGGGGCAGACGUGCGAUUCGUUGAGUCCAAGACGAGAAGUCGAGUUCUCGAAAAGCGAACCUUGGCCUUGACCCCACAGGGGACGGAAUACUGUCCUCAGCAAGUUGGUGGUCAAGCUACUAAGGGCACUCGGUGGAUGCCUUGGCGACAGGAGGCGAUGAAGGACGUGGUUAGCUGCGAUAAGCUACGUGGAGCCGCAAGCAGGCGUCGAUACGUAGAUGU